UACGUAGGGUGCGAGCGUUGUCCGGAAUUACUGGGCGUAAAGAGCUUGUAGGUGGUUUGUCGCGUUGUUCGUGAAAACUCACAGCUCAACUGUGGGCGUGCGGGCGAUACGGGCAGACUAGAGUACUGCAGGGGAGACUGGAACUCCUGGUGUAGCGGUGGAAUGCGCAGAUAUCAGGAGGAACACCGGUGGCGAAGGCGGGUCUCUGGGCCGAUACUGACGCUGAGGAGCGAAAGCGUGGGGAGCGAACAGG
rnacentral:rRNA from 1 species